CCUACGGGAGGCAGCAGUGAGGAAUAUUGGUCAAUGGGCGAGAGUCUGAACCAGCCAAGUAGCGUGAAGGAUGACUGCCCUAUGGGUUGUAAACUUCUUUUAUAUGGGAAUAAAGUGUUCCACGUGUGGGUUUUUGUAUGUACCAUAUGAAUAAGGAUCGGCUAACUCCGUGCCAGCAGCCGCGGUAAUACGGAGGAUCCGAGCGUUAUCCGGAUUUAUUGGGUUUAAAGGGAGCGUAGGUGGAUUGUUAAGUCAGUUGUGAAAGUUUGCGGCUCAACCGUAAAAUUGCAGUUGAAACUGGCAGUCUUGAGUACAGUAGAGGUGGGCGGAAUUCGUGGUGUAGCGGUGAAAUGCUUAGAUAUCACGAAGAACUCCGAUUGCGAAGGCAGCUUACUAGACUGCAACUGACACUGAUGCUCGAAAGUGUGGGUAUCAAACAGGAUUAGAUACCCGGGUAGUC
rnacentral:rRNA from 1 species